rnacentral:rRNA from 1 species
GGGUGAGUAACACGUGGGUAACCUGCCCUAAAGUCUGGGAUACCACUUGGAAACAGGCGCUAAUACCGGAUAACAACAAUAGCUGCAUGGCUAUUGCUUAAAAGGCGGCGAAAGCUGUCGCUAAAGGAUGGACCCGCGGUGCAUUAGCUAGUUGGUAAGGUAAUGGCUUACCAAGGCGACGAUGCAUAGCCGAGUUGAGAGACUGAUCGGCCACAUUGGGACUGAGACACGGCCCAAACUCCUACGGGAGGCAGCAGUAGGGAAUCUUCCACAAUGGGCGAAAGCCUGAUGGAGCAACGCCGCGUGAGUGAAGAAGGUUUUCGGAUCGUAAAGCUCUGUUGUUGGUGAAGAAGGAUAGAGGUAGUAACUGGCCCCUAUUUGACGGUAAUCAACCAGAAAGUCACGGCUAACUACGUGCCAGCAGCCGCGGUAAUACGUAGGUGGCAAGCGUUGUCCGGAUUUAUUGGGCGUAAAGCGAGCGCAGGCGGAAAGAUAAGUCUGAUGUGAAAGCCCCCGGCUUAACCGAGGAAUUGCAUCGGAAACUGUGUUUCUUGAGUGCAGAAGAGGAGAGUGGAACUCCAUGUGUAGCGGUGGAAUGCGUAGAUAUAUGGAAGAACACCAGUGGCGAAGGCGGCUCUCUGGUCUGUAACUGACGCUGAGGCUCGAAAGCAUGGGUAGCGAACAGGAUUAGAUACCCUGGUAGUCCAUGCCGUAAACG